rnacentral:rRNA from 1 species
GUGAGGAAUCUUGCGCAAUGGGGGCAACCCUGACGCAGCAACGCCGCGUGAGUGAUGAAGGCCUUCGGGUCGUAAAGCUCUGUCAGAUGGGAAGAAAGUUUCCGCGACGAAUAAUCGCGGAGAUUGACGGUACCGUCAAAGGAAGCACCGGCUAACUCCGUGCCAGCAGCCGCGGUAAUACGGAGGGUGCUAGCGUUGUUCGGAAUUAUUGGGCGUAAAGAGCGUGUAGGCGGCCAGGUAAGUCAGAUGUGAAAACCCUUGGCUCAACCAAGGAAGGGCAUUUGAAACUGUCUGGCUUGAGUACGGGAGGGGGAAGCGGAAUUCCCGGUGUAGAGGUGAAAUUCGUAGAUAUCGGGAGGAACACCGGUGGCGAAGGCGGCUUCCUGGACCGAUACUGACGCUGAGACGCGAAAGCGUGGGGAGCAAACAGGAUUAGAUACCCCAGUAGUCC